rnacentral:rRNA from 1 species
UACGUAGGGCGCAAGCGUUAUCCGGAUUUAUUGGGCGUAAAGAGCUCGUAGGCGGUCUGUCGCGUCUGGUGUGAAAACUCGAGGCUCAACCUCGAGCUUGCAUCGGGUACGGGCAGACUAGAGUGCGGUAGGGGAGACUGGAAUUCCUGGUGUAGCGGUGGAAUGCGCAGAUAUCAGGAGGAACACCGAUGGCGAAGGCAGGUCUCUGGGCCGCAACUGACGCUGAGGAGCGAAAGCAUGGGGAGCGAAUGGG